rnacentral:rRNA from 1 species
AACGUAGGAGACAAACGUUAUCCGGAGUUACUGGGCGUAAAGGGCGUGUAGGUGGUUUCGUAAGUCUGGCGUGAAAUAUCUCGGCUUAACCGAGGCAGGUCGUCGGAUACUGCGGGGCUAGAGGACGGUAGAGGCGUGUGGAAUUCCGGGUGUAGUGGUGAAAUGCGUAGAGAUCCGGAGGAACACCAGUGGCGAAGGCGACACGCUGGGCCGUACCUGACACUGAUGCGCGACAGCAUGGGGAGCAAACAGG